rnacentral:rRNA from 1 species
UGGGGAAUUUUGGACAAUGGGCGAAAGCCUGAUCCAGCAAUGCCGCGUGUGUGAAGAAGGCCUUCGGGUUGUAAAGCACUUUUGUCCGGAAAGAAAUCCUUGGCUCUAAUACAGUCGGGGGAUGACGGUACCGGAAGAAUAAGCACCGGCUAACUACGUGCCAGCAGCCGCGGUAAUACGUAGGGUGCAAGCGUUAAUCGGAAUUACUGGGCGUAAAGCGUGCGCAGGCGGUUUGCUAAGACCGAUGUGAAAUCCCCGGGCUCAACCUGGGAACUGCAUUGGUGACUGGGCAGGCUAGAGUAUGGCAGAGGGGGGUAGAAUUCCACGUGUAGCAGUGAAAUGCGUAGAGAUGUGGAGGAAUACCGAUGGCGAAGGCAGCCCCCUGGGCCAAUACUGACGCUCAUGCACGAAAAGCGUGGGGGAGCAAAACAGGAUUCAGAUCACCCUGGUAGUCCAGCGCCCUAAACGAUGUCAACUAGUUGUUGGGGAUUCAUUUCCUUAGUAACGUAGCUAACGCGUGAAGUUGACCGCCUGGGGAGUACGGUCGCAAGAUU